rnacentral:rRNA from 1 species
GAGUUUGAUCAUGGCUCAGGACGAACGCUGGCGGCGUGCUUAACACAUGCAAGUCGAACGAGAAUCUACUGAAAGAGUUUUCGGACAAUGGAAGUAGAGGAAAGUGGCGGACGGGUGAGUAACGCGUGAGGAACCUGCCUUGAAGAGGGGGACAACAGUUGGAAACGACUGCUAAUACCGCAUGAUGCAUAAGGGUCGCAUGAUUCUUAUGCCAAAGAUUUAUCGCUUCAAGAUGGCCUCGCGUCUGAUUAGCUAGUUGGCGGGGUAACGGCCCACCAAGGCGACGAUCAGUAGCCGGACUGAGAGGUUGAACGGCCACAUUGGGACUGAGAUACGGCCCAGACUCCUACGGGAGGCAGCAGUGGGGAAUAUUGGGCAAUGGGCGCAAGCCUGACCCAGCAACGCCGCGUGAAGGAGAAGGCUUUCGGUAUGUAACUUCUAUCAGCAGGGAAGGAAAAUAGACGGUACCGACUAAGAAGCCCGGCCACUACGUGCCAGCAGCCGCA